GACGAGAUAGCUCAGUUGGUAAAGUAGAGGACUGAAAAUCCUUGUGCCACCAAUUCAAAUCUGGUUCCUGGCA
rfam:Picea glauca, whole genome shotgun sequence.